rnacentral:rRNA from 1 species
UGGCUCAGAUUGAACGCUGGCGGCAGGCCUAACACAUGCAAGUCGAGCGGAUGAGAGGAGCUUGCUCCUGGAUUCAGCGGCGGACGGGUGAGUAAUGCCUAGGAAUCUGCCUGGUAGUGGGGGACAACGUUUCGAAAGGAACGCUAAUACCGCAUACGUCCUACGGGAGAAAGCAGGGGACCUUCGGGCCUUGCGCUAUCAGAUGAGCCUAGGUCGGAUUAGCUAGUUGGUGAGGUAAUGGCUCACCAAGGCGACGAUCCGUAACUGGUCUGAGAGGAUGAUCAGUCACACUGGAACUGAGACACGGUCCAGACUCCUACGGGAGGCAGCAGUGGGGAAUAUUGGACAAUGGGCGAAAGCCUGAUCCAGCCAUGCCGCGUGUGUGAAGAAGGUCUUCGGAUUGUAAAGCACUUUAAGUUGGGAGGAAGGGCAGUAAAUUAAUACUUUG